CCUGGCUGAUUUUGCUGGUAGUCACAUGCUUGCCUCGGAGAUCAGGCCAAGCAUGUCUAAGUACAUAUCCCAAAAAGGUGAAUCCAUGAAUGUCACAUCAAAUCAACUAUGGUGCCCUUGGACCGUUUGUACUACACAGAUAACUAGCAAUUCUAGAGAGAACACACCCCGCCAUACUCCGACCCGCGAGGGAACAGGUAGAUUUAUUAGAGCAGAACCAACCGGGAGCAGCUUCAGUCGUCCCUGUUGCACUCUGUGAUGACUCUGGAUAACUUCACUGAUCGCAGUCAGCCUUGUGUCGGCGACUGGUCUUUCAAAUGUCUGCUCUUUAGAUUUUCGCUGGUAGGUGGGAUGCCUACCGUGAUGCCAAGGGACAACAGUGAAUCACGGUUUAAUUCCGGAGGGGAACCUAAGAGACGGCUACCACUUAAAAGGAAGACAACAGUCACGUACAUUACCCAGUCCUGGAAUUGUGAUGCAGUGACGAAAAAUAGGAGAACGGGACUUACCAGAUGCUCCGUAAUUCGAAUGAAUACGGUUUAAAUCCCUCAAGGGGGAUCAACUUGUGGGCAAGUCUGGUGCCAGCAGCCGCGGUAACCCAGCUUCAGAGGCGUACAUUAUAGUUAGUGUUGCUAAAAUGCUUGCAUUCGGGACCGGGUCGCAUGGUCACUUGCCGUCCCUCAUGAGUUUGGCCUAGGUGCUGCCGGGUUGAGCCUACAAUUCGGUCUCACGAUUGUGCUUCCUUUCUGUUGUGUCUGUUUAUAGGUGGUAGAGUGACUGGUGGGCUUGCCUGAUAGCUUGUUGGCACGCAUCUUGACGCCUCUAACUAGGUGUUGGCGGCGGACAGCACGUUCACGUUGAACAAAUUCCAGUGCUCGAAGCAGACCAUUGUGUCUGAAUGUUCCUGCAUGGAAUGAUGGAAUAGUACUUCGGUUCUUUUCUGUUGGCUUUCGGAUCCUAAGUACUGGGUUGGAGGGACAGACGGGAGCAUUUGUAUGGCGGUGUUAGAGGCGAAAUUCUGGGAUCGCCCCCUGACGAACUAAAGACGAAGUAUUUGCCAAGGAUGAUUUCAUUGAUCUUGAGAGAAAGUCAGAGGUUCAAAGACGAUUAAACACCGUCCUACUUUUAGUAUUAUUAUUAACAAAAGUUUAUUUCGUAGCACCUGAAGAAAUGCCUACGCAUACGUACCCAUUUUUGCGAGCAACAAAAUAGAUAGACGAAAUUCGUGAAAGAAUUGUAAAUGAACAUGACAAUGGAGUGGUAGGAAGAAAUAGAAGGUACGUGAGGGAGACAAAUGUCUGCACACCAACAAAUAAGGGGGGGAGUUUAGAUAAACGCAGGGAUGGAUUCAAAUGUGCCCGGAAAAUUCGACAGUCAAGACCCAAUGGGGCAGCUGGCUGAGCCAAGUGGGGAAGAUCGGAACCUGGGAGUUUUACAUGGGGAGAACUGAAAACCGGCAUGAGAAACUACUGUAAUGAGAAAUGAUGCAGAAUAAGAAGAAAAAAGGAGGAAAGAAAGGAAGAACGAAAAUGGGACUGUUUGCCAAGGGAUUAGAUGGCCAUGAAGAACGUCCCACUGCAACAAAUGGAUAGUGUCAAUUUAAAGACAGGGAGCGACCAAUGCAAGACGUAAAGAGCGGGUCAGACGGUUGCAAUGCGUGAAAAGAUGGGGAUACUGCAGUUAUGGGACACGGAUAUAGAGAAAAUAGAUGCACUUCAUGAGGAAUGGCAGCAUGGUAGCAAGAGAGCUGGCCGGCCAAGAACUGGAGCUGACAGAGAAAAAGUACUGGCAUAUGCAUACAUACAUUUAUGUAUAUAAUAAUAAUAAUAAUGGUUUAUUUCGGAAACGCUGGAAGCAUGCCAUGUGCAUUAUCUUGUUCGUACAGGUGAUGGGAUGAACAGAUAUAGUUCAUGGAGAUAUGGAAGCUCUCAUGAAAAUAUUGGA
rnacentral:rRNA from 1 species